UGCAAGUCGUACGCUUCUUUUUCCACCGGAGCUUGCUCCACCGGAAAAAGAAGAGUGGCGAACGGGUGAGUAACACGUGGGUAACCUGCCCAUCAGAAGGGGAUAACACUUGGAAACAGGUGCUAAUACCGUAUAACAAUCGAAACCGCAUGGUUUUGAUUUGAAAGGCGCUUUCGGGUGUCGCUGAUGGAUGGACCCGCGGUGCAUUAGCUAGUUGGUGAGGUAACGGCUCACCAAGGCCACGAUGCAUAGCCGACCUGAGAGGGUGAUCGGCCACAUUGGGACUGAGACACGGCCCAAACUCCUACGGGAGGCAGCAGUAGGGAAUCUUCGGCAAUGGACGAAAGUCUGACCGAGCAACGCCGCGUGAGUGAAGAAGGUUUUCGGAUCGUAAAACUCUGUUGUUAGAGAAGAACAAGGAUGAGAGUAACUGUUCAUCCCUUGACGGUAUCUAACCAGAAAGCCACGGCUAACUACGUGCCAGCAGCCGCGGUAAUACGUAGGUGGCAAGCGUUGUCCGGAUUUAUUGGGCGUAAAGCGAGCGCAGGCGGUUUCUUAAGUCUGAUGUGAAAGCCCCCGGCUCAACCGGGGAGGGUCAUUGGAAACUGGGAGACUUGAGUGCAGAAGAGGAGAGUGGAAUUCCAUGUGUAGCGGUGAAAUGCGUAGAUAUAUGGAGGAACACCAGUGGCGAAGGCGGCUCUCUGGUCUGUAACUGACGCUGAGGCUCGAAAGCGUGGGGAGCAAACAGGAUUAGAUACCCUGGUAGUCCACGCCGUAAACGAUGAGUGCUAAGUGUUGGAGGGUUUCCGCCCUUCAGUGCUGCAGCUAACGCAUUAAGCACUCCGCCUGGGGAGUACGACCGCAAGGUUGAAACUCAAAGGAAUUGACGGGGGCCCGCACAAGCGGUGGAGCAUGUGGUUUAAUUCGAAGCAACGCGAAGAACCUUACCAGGUCUUGACAUCCUUUGACCACUCUAGAGAUAGAGCUUCCCCUUCGGGGGCAAAGUGACAGGUGGUGCAUGGUUGUCGUCAGCUCGUGUCGUGAGAUGUUGGGUUAAGUCCCGCAACGAGCGCAACCCUUAUUGUUAGUUGCCAUCAUUCAGUUGGGCACUCUAGCAAGACUGCCGGUGACAAACCGGAGGAAGGUGGGGAUGACGUCAAAUCAUCAUGCCCCUUAUGACCUGGGCUACACACGUGCUACAAUGGGAAGUACAACGAGUCGCGAAGUCGCGAGGCUAAGCUAAUCUCUUAAAGCUUCUCUCAGUUCGGAUUGUAGGCUGCAACUCGCCUACAUGAAGCCGGAAUCGCUAGUAAUCGCGGAUCAGCACGCCGCGGUGAAUACGUUCCCGGGCCUUGUACACACCGCCCGUCACACCACGAGAGUUUGUAACACCCGAAGUCGGUGAGGUAACCUUUGGA
rnacentral:rRNA from 1 species